rnacentral:rRNA from 1 species
UGGAUCCAGACUUUGAUUAUGGCUCAGGAUGAACGCUAGCUACAGGCUUAACACAUGCAAGUCGAGGGGAAACGACAUCGAAAGCUUGCUUUUGAUGGGCGUCGACCGGCGCACGGGUGAGUAACGCGUAUCCAACCUGCCCACCACUUGGGGAUAACCUUGCGAAAGUAAGACUAAUACCCAAUGAUAUCUCUAGAAGACAUCUGAAAGAGAUUAAAGAUUUAUCGGUGAUGGAUGGGGAUGCGUCUGAUUAGCUUGUUGGCGGGGUAACGGCCCACCAAGGCGACGAUCAGUAGGGGUUCUGAGAGGAAGGUCCCCCACAUUGGAACUGAGACACGGUCCAAACUCCUACGGGAGGCAGCAGUGAGGAAUAUUGGUCAAUGGGCGAGAGCCUGAACCAGCCAAGUAGCGUGCAGGAUGACGGCCCUAUGGGUUGUAAGCUGCUUUUAUAAGGGAAUAAAGUGAGUCUCGUGAGACUUUUUGCAUGUACCUUAUGAAUAAGGACCGGCUAAUUCCGUGCCAGCAGCCGCGGUAAUACGGAAGGUCCGGGCGUUAUCCGGAUUUAUUGGGUUUAAAGGGAGCGUAGGCCGGAGAUUAAGCGUGUUGUGAAAUGUAGACGCUCAACGUCUGCACUGCAGCGCGAACUGGUUUCCUUGAGUACGCACAAAGUGGGCGGAAUUCGUGGUGUAGCGGUGAAAUGCUUAGAUAUCACGAAGAACUCCGAUUGCGAAGGCAGCUCACUGGAGCGCAACUGACGCUGAAGCUCGAAAGUGCGGGUAUCGAACAGGAUUAGAUACCCUGGUAGUCCGCACGGUAAACGAUGGAUGCCCGCUGUUGGUCUGAAUAGGUCAGCGGCCAAGCGAAAGCAUUAAGCAUCCCACCUGGGGAGUACGCCGGCAACGGUGCAACUCAAAGGAAUUGACGGA